UACCAGCACCCCGAAUGGUCGGGACGAUUAUUGGGCCUAAAGCAUCCGUAGCCGGUCCUACAAGUCUUCCGUUAAAUCCACCUGCUCAACAGAUGGGCUGCGGAAGAUACUAUAGGGCUAGGAGGCGGGAGAGGCAAGCGGUACUCAGUGGGUAGGGGUAAAAUCCUCUGAUCCAUUGAAGACCACCAGUGGCGAAGGCGGCUUGCCAGAACGCGCUCGACGGUGAGGGAUGAAAGCUGGGGGAGCAAACCGG
rnacentral:rRNA from 1 species